rnacentral:rRNA from 1 species
UGGCUGUCGUCAGCUCGUGUCGUGAGAUGUUCGGGUUAAGUCCCGUAACGAGCGCAACCCUGUCCUUAGUUACCAGCACGUUAUGGUGGGCACUCUAAGGAGACUGCCGGUGACAAACCGGAGGAAGGUGGGGAUGACGUCAAGUCAUCAUGGCCCUUACGGCCUGGGCUACACACGUGCUACAAUGGUCGGUGCAAAGGGUUGCCAAGCCGCGAGGUGGAGCUAAUCCCAUAAAACCGAUCGUAGUCCGGAUCGCAGUCUGCAACUCGACUGCGUGAAGUCGGAAUCGCUAGUAAUCGUGAAUCAGAAUGUCACGGUGAAUACGUUCCCGGGCCUU